GACGAACGCUGGCGGCGUGCUUAACACAUGCAAGUCGAGCGGUAAGGCCCUUUCGGGGGUACGACGAGCGGCGAACGGGUGAGUAACACGUGGGUGACCUGCCCUCAGCUCUGGGAUAAGCCUGGGAAACCGGGUCUAAUACUGGAUAUGACUCCAUGACGCAUGUUGUGGGGUGGAAAGCCUUGUGCGGCUGAGGAUGGGCCCGCGGCCUAUCAGCUUGUUGGUGGGGUGANGGCCUACCAAGGCGACGACGGGUAGCCGGCCUGAGAGGGCGACCGGCCGCACUGGGACUGAGACACGGCCCAGACUCCUACGGGAGGCAGCAGUGGGGAAUCUUGCGCAAUGGGCGAAAGCCUGACGCAGCGACGCCGCGUGAGGGAUGACGGCCU
rnacentral:rRNA from 1 species